rnacentral:lncRNA from 1 species
CCAACUAUUUUGAACUAUUCAAGAACAAUUUACAACACCUUCGAAAGGUGUGUUCUUGACACUUACAAGACAUUUCUUGUAAAUACCCUUUCCAAUGUCCAUCCUUUCAUAAAGAAAGUUUGUUCCCUUGGAGUUAAUUUAAUCUUCUUCAUUUGACUUCUCCUUUGACUAUAAUAGUCAUGGUCCCUAAACUCCCACUAUCUCUCUUGAAACUUAUUUCAAUUGUGUUAUACACAUCAAAACAUUUUGGAGAGCAUGUGGUUAUUGUUCAUUUAUAUAGUUUACAAUAAACUUAAUGAACCAUAAGGAUAGGGACACAAAGGUGAAGUCCUUGCCUAGUUUCCGUCUCAUUAAGUGGUUUAUCACU